rnacentral:rRNA from 1 species
GGCGAGCGAACGGGGAGCAGCCCAGAGUCUGAAUCAGCUUGUGUGUUAGUGGAACGGUCUGGAAAGUCCGACGGUACAGGGUGAUAGUCCCGUACACCAAAAUGCACAGGUUGUGAACUCGAAGAGUAGGGCGGGACACGUGGUAUCCUGUCUGAAUAUGGGGGGACCAUCCUCCAAGGCUAAAUACUCCUGACUGACCGAUAGUGAACCAGUACCGUGAGGGAAAGGCGAAAAGAACCCCGGCGAGGGGAGUGAAAAAGAACCUGAAACCGUGUACGUACAAGCAGUGGGAGCACCUUCGGGUGUGACUGCGUACCUUUUGUAUAAUGGGUCAGCGACUUAUAUUCUGUAGCAAGGUUAACCGUAUAGGGGAGCCGCAGGGAAACCGAGUCUUAACUGGGCGUUAAGUUGCAGGGUAUAGACCCGAAACCCGGUGAUCUAGCCAUGGGCAGGUUGAAGGUUGGGUAACACUAACUGGAGGACCGAACCGACUAAUGUUGAAAAAUUAGCGGAUGACUUGUGGCUGGGGGUGAAAGGCCAAUCAAACCGGGAGAUAGCUGGUUCUCCCCGAAAGCUAUUUAGGUAGCGCCUCGUGAACUCAUCUUCGGGGGUAGAGCACUGUUUCGGCUAGGGGGUCAUCCCGACUUACCAACCCGAUGCAAACUACGAAUACCGAAGAAUGUUAUCACGGGAGACACACGGCGGGUGCUAACGUCCGUCGUGAAGAGGGAAACAACCCAGACCGCCAGCUAAGGUCCCAAAGUCAUGGUUAAGUGGGAAACGAUGUGGGAAGGCACAGACAGCCAGGAUGUUGGCUUAGAAGCAGCCAUCAUUUAAAGAAAGCGUAAUAGCUCACUGGUCGAGUCGGCCUGCGCGGAAGAUGUAACGGGGCUAAACCAUGCACCGAAGCUGCGGCAGCGACACUAUGUGUUGUUGGGUAGGGGAGCGUUCUGUAAGCCUGCGAAGGUGUGCUGUGAGGCAUGCUGGAGGUAUCAGAAGUGCGAAUGCUGACAUAAGUAACGAUAAAGCGGGUGAAAAGCCCGCUCGCCGGAAGACCAAGGGUUCCUGUCCAACGUUAAUCGGGGCAGGGUGAGUCGACCCCUAAGGCGAGGCCGAAAGGCGUAGUCGAUGGGAAACAGGUUAAUAUUCCUGUACUUGGUGUUACUGCGAAGGGGGGACGGAGAAGGCUAUGUUAGCCGGGCGACGGUUGUCCCGGUUUAAGCAUGUAGGCUGGUUAUCCAGGCAAAUCCGGAUAAUCAAGGCUGAGGUGUGAUGACGAGGCACUACGGUGCUGAAGUAACAAAUGCCCUGCUUCCAGGAAAAGCCUCUAAGCAUCAGGUAACAUCAAAUCGUACCCCAAACCGACACAGGUGGUCAGGUAGAGAAUACCAAGGCGCUUGAGAGAACUCGGGUGAAGGAACUAGGCAAAAUGGUGCCGUAACUUCGGGAGAAGGCACGCUGGUGUGUAGGUGAAGUCCCUGCGGAUGGAGCUGAGACCAGUCGAAGAUACCAGCUGGCUGCAACUGUUUAUUAAAAACACAGCACUGUGCAAACACGAAAGUGGACGUAUACGGUGUGACGCCUGCCCGGUGCCGGAAGGUUAAUUGAUGGGGUUAUCCGUAAGGAGAAGCUCUUGAUCGAAGCCCCGGUAAACGGCGGCCGUAACUAUAACGGUCCUAAGGUAGCGAAAUUCCUUGUCGGGUAAGUUCCGACCUGCACGAAUGGCGUAAUGAUGGCCAGGCUGUCUCCACCCGAGACUCAGUGAAAUUGAACUCGCUGUGAAGAUGCAGUGUACCCGCGGCAAGACGGAAAGACCCCGUGAACCUUUACUAUAGCUUGACACUGAACAUUGAGCCUUGAUGUGUAGGAUAGGUGGGAGGCUUUGAAGCGUGGACGCCAGUCUGCGUGGAGCCAACCUUGAAAUACCACCCUUUAAUGUUUGAUGUUCUAACGUUGGCCCCUGACCGGGGUUGCGGACAGUGUCUGGUGGGUAGUUUGACUGGGGCGGUCUCCUCCCAAAGCGUAACGGAGGAGCACGAAGGUUAGCUAAUCCUGGUCGGACAUCAGGAGGUUAGUGCAAUGGCAUAAGCUAGCUUGACUGCGAGCGUGACGGCGCGAGCAGGUGCGAAAGCAGGUCAUAGUGAUCCGGUGGUUCUGAAUGGAAGGGCCAUCGCUCAACGGAUAAAAGGUACUCCGGGGAUAACAGGCUGAUACCGCCCAAGAGUUCAUAUCGACGGCGGUGUUUGGCACCUCGAUGUCGGCUCAUCACAUCCUGGGGCUGAAGUAGGUCCCAAGGGUAUGGCUGUUCGCCAUUUAAAGUGGUACGCGAGCUGGGUUUAGAACGUCGUGAGACAGUUCGGUCCCUAUCUGCCGUGGGCGCUGGAGAAUUGAGGGGGGCUGCUCCUAGUACGAGAGGACCGGAGUGGACGCAUCACUGGUGUUCGGGUUGUCAUGCCAAUGGCACUGCCCGGUAGCUAAAUGCGGAAGAGAUAAGUGCUGAAAGCAUCUAAGCACGAAACUUGCCCCGAGAUGAGUUCUCCCUGAGACUAUAAGUCUCCUGAAGGAACGUUAAAGACGAUGACGUUGAUAGGCCGGGUGUGUAAGCGCAGCGAUGCGUUGAGCUAACCGGUACUAAUGAACCGUGAGGCUUAACCUU